GACGAACCGUGCGAACGUUGUUCGGAAUCACUGGGCUUAAAGGGCGCGUAGGCGGGCCUGGAUAGUCUGUGGUGAAAGCCUCCAGCUUAACUGGAGAAGUGCCAUGGAUACUGCCGGUCUGGGAGGAUGGGUGAGGGCAUCUGGAACGCUGGGUGGAGCGGUGAAAAUGCGUUGAUAUCCAGCGGAACUCCGGUGGCGAAGGCGAGGUGCUGGACCCUUUCUGACGCUGAGGCGCGAAAGCCAGGGGAGCCAAACGGG
rnacentral:rRNA from 1 species